rnacentral:rRNA from 1 species
GAGGAGAUCCAGCCACACUGGAACUGAGACACGGUCCAGACUCCUACGGGAGGCAGCAGUGGGGAAUAUUGCACAAUGGGCGCAAGCCUGAUGCAGCCAUGCCGCGUGUAUGAAGAAGGCCUUCGGGUUGUAAAGUACUUUCAGCGGGGAGGAAGGUGUUGCUGGUUAAUAACCGCAGCAAUGAC